UACGUAGGGGGCAAGCGUUGUCCGGAAUCAUUGGGCGUAAAGCGCGCGUAGGCGGCCAGAUAAGUCCGGUGUGAAAGUCACAGGCUCAACCUGUGAAUGCCGCUGGAAACUGUCUGGCUUGAGUCCGGAAGGGGCGAGUGGAAUUCCUGGUGUAGCGGUGAAAUGCGCAGAUAUCUGGAGGAACACCGGUGGCGAAGGCGGCAUCCUGGACCGACACUGACGCUGAGGAGCGAAAGCCAGGGGAGCAAACGGG
rnacentral:rRNA from 1 species